rnacentral:rRNA from 1 species
CAGCAGCCGCGGAAAUACGAAGGGUGCAAGCGUUAAUCGGAAUUACUGGGCGUAAAGCGUGCGUAGGCGGUUUGUUAAGUCUGCUGUGAAAUCCCCGGGCUCAACCUGGGAACUGCAUUUGUGACUGGCAAGCUAGAGUGUGGCAGAGGGGGGUGGAAUUCCGCGUGUAGCAGUGAAAUGCGUAGAGAUCUGGAGGAAUACCGGUGGCGAAGGCGGCCCCCUGGACAAAGACUGACGCUCAGGUGCGAGAGCGUGGGGAGCAAACAGGAUUAGAUACCCGAGUAGUCCCUGUCUCUUAUAC